rnacentral:rRNA from 1 species
AGAGUUUGAUCAUGGCUCAGAUUGAACGCUGGCGGCAUGCCUUACACAUGCAAGUCGAACGGCAGCACGGGAGCAAUCCUGGUGGCGAGUGGCGAACGGGUGAGUAAUACAUCGGAACAUGUCCAGUAGUGGGGGAUAGCCCGGCGAAAGCCGGAUUAAUACCGCAUACGAUCCAUGGAUGAAAGCGGGGGACCGCAAGGCCUCGCGCUAUUGGGGUGGCCGAUGGCGGAUUAGCUUGUUGGUGGGGUAAAGGCCUACCAAGGCGACGAUCCGUAGCUGGUCUGAGAGGACGACCAGCCACACUGGGACUGAGACACGGCCCAGACUCCUACGGGAGGCAGCAGUGGGGAAUUUUGGACAAUGGGGGCAACCCUGAUCCAGCAAUGCCGCGUGUGUGAAGAAGGCCUUCGGGUUGUAAAGCACUUUUGUCCGGAAAGAAAACCUCUGGGUGAAUACCCCGGGGGGAUGACGGUACCGGAAGAAUAAGCACCGGCUAACUACGUGCCAGCAGCCGCGGUAAUACGUAGGGUGCGAGCGUUAAUCGGAAUUACUGGGCGUAAAGCGUGCGCAGGCGGUGCUGUAAGACCGAUGUGAAAUCCCCGGGCUUAACCUGGGAACUGCAUUGGUGACUGCAGCGCUGGAGUAUGGCAGAGGGGGGUGGAAUUCCACGUGUAGCAGUGAAAUGCGUAGAGAUGUGGAGGAACACCGAUGGCGAAGGCAGCCCCCUGGGCCAAUACUGACGCUCAUGCACGAAAGCGUGGGGAGCAAACAGGAUUAGAUACCCCCGUAGUCC